AUGAACGCUGGCGGCGUGCCUAAUACAUGCAAGUCGAGCGAACAGAUGAGGAGCUUGCUCCUCUGACGUUAGCGGCGGACGGGUGAGUAACACGUGGAUAACCUACCUAUAAGACUGGGAUAACUUCGGGAAACCGGAGCUAAUACCGGAUAAUAUAUUUAACCGCAUGGUUCAAUAGUGAAAGACGGUUUUGCUGUCACUUAUAGAUGGAUCCGCGCCGCAUUAGCUAGUUGGUAAGGUAACGGCUUACCAAGGCAACGAUGCGUAGCCGACCUGAGAGGGUGAUCGGACACACUAGAACUGAGACACGGUCCAGACUCCUACGGGAGGCAGCAGUAGGGAAUCUUCCGCAAUGGGCGAAAGCCUGACGGAGCAACGCCGCGUGAGUGAUGAAGGUCUUCGGAUCGUAAAACUCUGUUAUUAGGGAAGAACAAAUGUGUAAGUAACUAUGCACGUCUUGACGGUACCUAAUCAGAAAGCCACGGCUAACUACGUG
rnacentral:rRNA from 1 species